rnacentral:rRNA from 1 species
GAUGAACGCUGGCGGCGUGCCUAACACAUGCAAGUAGAACGCUGAAACGAGAAGCUUGUUCUCUUAGGGUUAGCGGCGUACGGGCGAGUAAGGAGUAGAUCACCUUCCUGGUAGCCGGGGAGAACUACUGGAAACGACAUCUAAUACCGCAUAAAAUUGCUUACGGCAUGAUAAAUAAUUGAUAGAGGCAAUUGCCUCACUACUAGGCGGAUGUGGGUUUAACUAGUUAGCUGGUGAAAGGACCACCAAGGAAACGAUCCGUACCUGGUCUGAGGGGAUGGUCAGCCACACUGGAACGGAGACACGCUCCAGACUCCUACGGGAGGCAGCAGUGGGGAAUAUUGGAAAAUGGGCGAAAGCCGGACGCAGCAAUACCGCGGGGGUGAGGAAGGUCUCCGGAUUGUAAAGCCCUUUUUUUGGGAAAGAAGAGAAGCAGGUUAAAAACUUCACAUUCUGACGGUACCUAACCAGAAAGCGCCGGCUAACUUCGUG